CAACAUAGGCGCGACUAGUCGGAGUCACGUUUUCCAUGUCAUUGGCGCGAACCGCGGGUUGUUGAGCUACAGGAGUUCCUCUUUUGUGGAGAUGAUCCUGUCGGUGACUGAGUCACUUGUCCUCAUCCUAGCAGUGGCAUCUCUGUCAAUGCUGACGUGAAGCAACCACCAGCUCCCCGGAAAGGUAAAGGAUCUGUGGGUCACCGUGAACCACGACACAGACGAGUCCUCACCUCCAUCAGCAAAGGCACACGUGAGAUGAGAUUCGGUCUGCUUGUCUCAUCUUCAGAGAGUUUUCAUAGAGUCUAGAGGAUUUUUGUAAUCACAAAAGAGGAUAUCAAGCACACAGAACCUGAAGAUCUCCAAGAGAGGGCAAAGACUGGACUUUGAUUUGGUGCGUUUUUUUCAGGUUGUGGAUAUGUGUCUGCAGCCUUCCGAUGGUUCUUCUUUGUGUGAUAUUAGCACUGGAGCGAAUGAGAAAAGUUUGGCUCUGGACAUGGACAUUCACACUAAGUUUUCUGUUUGGGUUUCGUUCUAUGAAAUCUACAACGAGAACAUUCACGAUUUGCUGGAACAGCAAGCGAACAACGCCUCACGUAGAAUAAACCUCCGUCUUUGUCAGGACGUCAAAGGCAACUCAUUUAUCAAAGGUUAAGAUGAGAAAGCGAGGUAGUGGAAGACUUUGAAGAGAGGGGGUUUUCCUCUUACCAUGAGCUUUCUGACGUGUAUGGCACAAAAACUGACACCAGCUCCCUCACUAAAGGGUAACAUUAGACAUAAACAGCAUAAAAACUAGAUGUUUGUACUCAUGUGUCUUAUAUCAGUAUUUGCUAAAUAGUUUUUAGCUCUAAUUUGAUGGCUUAUUGUUUUGUUUUAUCUGUCGGAUCAGGAGUUCCUCUUUUGUGGAGAUGAUCCUGUCGGUGACUGAGUCACUUGUCCUCAUCCUACCAGUGGCAACUCUGCCUUGGAUCGGUCGGGUGAUCGUCAAUGCUGACGUGAAGCAACCACCAUCUCCCCGGA